AGAGUUUGAUCCUGGCUCAGAACGAACGCUGGCGGCAUGCCUAACACAUGCAAGUCGAACGAAGGCUUCGGCCUUAGUGGCGCACGGGUGAGUAACACGUGGGAACCUGCCUUUCGGUUCGGAAUAACGUCUGGAAACGGACGCUAACACCGGAUACGUCCUUCGGGAGAAAGUUUACGCCGAGAGAGGGGCCCGCGUCGGAUUAGGUAGUUGGUGUGGUAACGGCGCACCAAGCCGACGAUCCGUAGCUGGUCUGAGAGGAUGAUCAGCCACACUGGGACUGAGACACGGCCCAGACUCCUACGGGAGGCAGCAGUGGGGAAUUUUGGACAAUGGGGGCAACCCUGAUCCAGCCAUUCCGCGUGAGUGAAGAAGGCCUUCGGGUUGUAAAGCUCUUUCAGCUGGAGCGAAACGGUACGCUCUAACAUAGCGUGCUACUGACGGUACCAGCAGAAGAAGCACCGGCUAACUACGUGCCAGCAGCCGCGGUAAUACGUAGGGUGCGAGCGUUAAUCGGAAUUACUGGGCGUAAAGCGUGCGCAGGCGGAUUGUUAAGCAAGACGUGAAAUCCCCGGGCUUAACCUGGGAAUGGCGUUUUGAACUGGCAGUCUAGAGUGCGUCAGAGGGGGGUGGAAUUCCACGUGUAGCAGUGAAAUGCGUAGAGAUGUGGAGGAACACCGAUGGCGAAGCAGCCCCCUGGGAUGACACUGACGCUCAUGUACGAAAGCGUGGGUAGCAAACAGGAUUAGAUACCCUGGUAGUCCACGCCCUAAACGAUGUCAACUGGUUGUUGGGGGA
rnacentral:rRNA from 1 species